UACGUAGGUGGCAAGCGUUGUCCGGAAUUAUUGGGCGUAAAGCGCGCGCAGGCGGUUUCUUAAGUCUGAUGUGAAAGCCCACGGCUCAACCGUGGAGGGUCAUUGGAAACUGGGGAACUUGAGUGCAGAAGAGGAAAGUGGAAUUCCACGUGUAGCGGUGAAAUGCGUAGAGAUGUGGAGGAACACCAGUGGCGAAGGCGACUUUCUGGUCUGUAACUGACGCUGAGGCGCGAAAGCGUGGGGAGCAAACAGG
rnacentral:rRNA from 1 species